rnacentral:rRNA from 1 species
GGGGAGUAGUGAUAUGGUUGUGUGAAAGAUUAAGGGAUGGAUGUGUGAGUAGAAGGGGGAAUAAGGUGAAAGGGGGAAUGGGUGAUUAAAUGAGUUAUGGUUGGUUGGAUGUUAGGGAGAGUUAGAUGGAUAAGUGUGGUAAUUGUAGAGGUAAUAGAUGAAGGUGGUGGGGGGAGGAGUGAUGGAAGGGUGGGUUUUAUUAGAAGAAAAGGAAUGGGUGGGGUGGUGGGUGGGUUGGGUUGGUGAGUGUGAAUAAGUUUGGGGUGAUGGGAGGGUGGGAGGAGGGGGGAGGGAUGUUUGAAAUGUGUGGGUUAUGAAGUUUGGAUGGUAGGUUGUGGGGGUAGGAUGGUUGUAAGGGGUGAGGGGGAAUGAGGGUUGGAUUGGGGAGAGGGAGGGUGAGAAAGGGGUAGGAGAUGGAAGGAAGGGAGGAGGGGGGGAAAUUAGGGAGUGGGGGGAGGGGGAGGUAGUGAGGAAAAAUAAGGAUACGGGAGUGAUGGGAGGGGGGGUAAUGGGAAUGAGAAGAGUUUAAAUGGUUUAAGGAGGAUGUAUUGGAGGGGAAGUGUGGUGGGAGGAGGGGGGGUAAUUGGAGGUGGAAUAGGGUAUAU